UAUUAAAUUGACAAAUGUGGUAUACUA
rnacentral:sRNA from 1 species